UCCAGACCCCCAUCAGAGCCCUGAACUACAGGGCAGCUAUGCACGGUACAGAGGGGAGUUUGAGCAGAGCUGUGUACUGAUCAUCAGGAGGCCUUGCUGUGUAGACAGCUGUGCUUUGGUUUUCUAGUUUGUGUCCAUAAGGAAUCCUUUUGAUAUGAUUCUAUGUAUUUUUUUCUAAUCUAUUUUUAAUCACACUUUCUUUUUGGGAAUUCAAAGAUUGACCCUGAGUAAAAUCUGGGAGUCUUCCUAAACUUAGCAUCUUCUCAUUGUUUACAUUCCAUCCAUGUCUGUGGUGCCCACUCCUUCCUCUUCACCGGGGCAUCAUUUAUGUACACACUGUAUAGGCUGGGCACUUUGUGCACACAUUGCUGAGAGUAACGAGGCUCACUUGAUUCAAGUUAAUGGGGUUCACAGCCCAGAGGUGCUGUGCUUUUCUAUGUCCUGUAAAGAUGUUAGAGAGGCCAGCCCCCUCAAUUUAAUUUGCCUUUGUAAAAGCACCAGCUCCUGCUCGUAGCCUCUCGUCCUUCCUGGCUAACCUUUGGCCACAGUGAACAUCUGCCAAUGCAAAUCUGACAGAGAUACUCUCUUAGUUACAUCCCUAAGUAGCUUUCCCCUUUCCUCCUUAAACACACUACAUCUAAUUUUUAUCAGACAGCUCUUUCACUGUACCCUGGGCUUGUUGAUUCAUCUAGACUAGAGAGCCAAGGAGCUCAAGAACACCUCCAUAUCCUCUCUCUGCUCCACCGAGUGCCCAGGUUACAGAAGAGCUCUGCUAUGCCUGGAUUUUACGUGGGUACUGGGGGAUCCAGACUCAGACCCUCAAGUUGGCAAGGGGGUCUUAGUUUCCUUUUAAGUUGUGAUAAAAUUCUAUGGCAAUAAUCAUCCUCAGGGGGAAAGGGUUUCUUUUAGCUCAUAGCUGUAGGUUAUGGUUCAUCAUGGUGGGGCAGUCAAGGCAUCAGGAGCUUGAAGAAGCUGGCCAUAUUGUAUCAGUUGGAGUAGAAAAGCAGGGCCAGUGCUGACCUCACGUUCUUAGUCUCUGCUAUUACCCAGUCCAGGAUACACCUCCCCAACCCACCUACACUCAACCUGUCUACUAAGUGAAUGGUGCUACCCACACUGCACAGGUCUUCCCACCACAAUUAGCAUAAUAAAGAUAAUCUACCACACACAUGUCCAGAAGUUCACCUCCCAAGUGAUUCUAGAUCGUGCCAAGUUGACAGCUUACACUAACCAUCACACAGGGCAAGCACUUACCCUCUCUGCCACCUCCUCAGUUCCCAGGCUCUGUGGUUUAAGUCUAAAAUUCUAAAGUCUAAAGUUUAAAGGCCAUGCAUGGACCCUCUACCUAGAACAUUAUCUUUUCCUUGGGCUGCCCUAGAACUUUUCCUUUGAGGCUCAGUCAGAGUUACCUCUGAUGAAACUUUUCUAACUGCCCAUGUGGGGAUUGACACUUGGGUCUGUAGGCCCUCAUCGCACCCACCAUUACAGCAAUGGAGCAUUUCAGUUCCCAUGCCUGUCUUCCUGUCUGCAGCUCUUGACUUCUGUGAGGCCCUGGAGGGUAGUGUUUGCUAUUCCUUAUUUGUGAGCCAGCACAGUGCCAACAGGUAGCAGCAGCCUUCUAUUAAAUAUCUAUGAAAUGAAUCCAACUUGGUUUUAGGUUUAAAUGAACAGUUUCCCAGUGAAACUCACCGGAAAUGAAAGCUAUUUUAAUCUUAAGCUUUCUCCUCACCUUCACUGAAACCCAGUAGUUUAGACUACACAAUAGCCUUUGUGAACUUGUUCUUGUCAAAGUCUUGUGAGAAUUGUGGAGGGCUGGGCUAGGAGGAGCUGGGGUGAAGGAAAUACAAUGUAACGUGCUGGCAUUUUUAUAUUGAUUCCCUUACCCGAUCUUCCCAAAAUGCAAGUGGGAAACAUAACAUCACUGUGAUUAGGUUUAAAGAGAUAAAGCAGCUUCAAAACAAAAUGAGAAAACCCAGAUAAGGAUAUUCAGUCAGAAUUCUUAAGGGGCAUUCAACUCUGAACAACAAUUUGACUGACGUUGGUUAUGAAAAGAAAACUUACAUAAGAGAAAAUGAAACCCCUUGUUGGAAAGGACCCCUGUCAUCUGGGCAAAGAACUCAUGCGUUAGAGUUGCAGUUGGAGAGAGCUGCUGUCCACAUCAAAUAGAAGAAGGCUCAUGCCUCAGACUCUUAAUUACUGAGCAAAGGGAACUUAAUUUUUUGUAUGUAUUCCUCUUUAUCUAAAGAUGCAUAAGAAUCUGAGAAAGCUGAACUUCAUAGACGCUGGCCCCUCACUGCCUUUAUUGAAACCCCAGGUCUAACAUAUCAUACUUAUAUAAACUUGGGUAAGUUAUAUAACCUCUCUAAGAGUGUGAUUCCUCACCUGUGAAAUGAUGUUACACAAUAAUGACAUCUUCCCCACAGGGACUUAGAAAAGAUUUAGUAUAAAUACAUUUGAAAUGGUGAGCAGCUCAGGUUUAGCAGGCAUUAUUACCAUCUAGAUACAUCAUCCUUGUCCCACCAUCACUACCACCAUCACCACCACCACCAUCACCACCAUCAUUAUCUAGAGACCAUGGUGAUUACAAUCUGCAGAGGAACAUUGUCCCAGUGGCCUCUGAGCUCUUAUUAUUUUAUAACUUUGUAUGAAAUCCAGUUAUUUUUGUUCAGUACUUUACUUUAUAGGACAUUACAGUUUGAAAAAAUAAGCACAAUAAUUAUAUCAAGCACAAAAUAAAUUAAUCAAUUUAUUGAUUAUUUAGUUAUCCAUUUUUUUCUGAUGUCUAAUUAAUAAGUGUUUUCAGUGUGGCUUCAUGUCUUUUGUAUUUUUGUGAUUGUUCUGAAUGAAUAGUGUAGUUCACCAUGAAGUAGGACUUAAAGGUUUUUCUCUAGUUGAUAGCAUAAAAUACAAAAAAUCAAAAUACAUAAAUAGAAAGUCCAAUUUUUAUGUCUUUACCAUAUGUUGCACUUUUGAGAUAGAUUCAUCCAACAGUAUCUUCAAUUUUGUCUUAGAGAAUCUCAGAAAUAAAACAUGCAGAUGUUGGUCUCAGUUAAUAAAGCAAAUCCAUGGCUUUGUUAUUUAUCAAAGUGAAGAAGUGUUUUCUUAGCUUCAGCAAUGUCAUUUAUGUUGUUAAUUAUCGUUGUCUUCAUCUUUGUCCAAAAGGAAGUUUUAGUUCUGAUCUCUUUAUAUUCAUACUGACUUGAAAUCUGGCUUUUAAAAAGUUAGGAAAUUCAAUAGUCACCUCACUUAAUCAAAUAAACUAACACGGGGAAAACAACCAUGGCACGAGCCUUUUAAUAAGAUAAGAACUUGGGUCCAGAGAAAAGACUUUCCUGGCUGAGAAAACCAUUCAUAGGUAUCUGAUAUUUACUAUUCCUGGGGACGAUGUUUUAAUAUUUACUGCUUUGACCUCAAUAUUCUAACUCUGAGGACAUUUUUAGUAUAAUCAUUGCAGCUAGGGUCACACCAACAUAAAGUAAUUAGGUUCAUGAAAACACUUUCUGGAUUAAGACCUUUAGGCCAACUCUACUUCCCAAUUAAUCUUCAAUAGACUGUGCUUAAUGAUUUGUAAGUUCUUUCCAUUUUCUUUUUAUAUUACUCAAAUUAUUUCCACCAAGAUCAAUUCUUUUCACUAAAUCUUAUGUCAGUAUUCAUUUUUGUCACUGAUAAGUUACUUUAAAAAUUAUUAUAGCUUUGGACACAGUUUUUCUCUUAUACUCAUUAUUUAUGCAAAGUGAAGUUUCCUUGGAAUAGUAUAUUUUUUCACUAAUUUUAAGAUAGUAAAUUUUAGCAGUAUAUUUUUAGUACUGAUAGAGCUUUCAAUCUAAUAGUAUGUUAAUCAUUUCUAUCAAGAGUAUUCUUGAGGAAUUUUUAAAGUUUUACAAUGUUCAGAUCAGAGCCGUUCUGUCUGUUCCUUCAAACAUCACUUGUGAAUGAGAGAGAAACUUACGAUUCUUUCUUUUCGGGAAUAUCAACCAUACUCCAGGGCAAGCCCGGUGCCCAGGAGUAGUUGGCCAAUAUAAAUUGGACUUCAUGGGGUUUGUGAGAUUUUUGUUUUGUUAUUUUUGGCCUAUUACUUAUUUGUUUUAAUAUUCACUUUUUGAGAGGGGGAAUGAAGUUGAAUGAGCAGGGAGAUAGAGAAGGUCUGGGAGGAGUUGGGGGAAGGGACAUCAUACUAUCAAAAUAAAUUGUAUGAAACACUUAAAUAUAACAUGAAAGAUUUUUUUCUAGCUUUUAAAAAUAUAUACAAGACAUCAUUAUUAUUUUCCACAGUCAUUCUAUUGUACAACAUAGUAUAAGAUUGCAUCACUUACUAUGUAACUUAGUAUACAGUGACUAACUUUUAUUGAAUUCAUAAUGAUUUUUUUUUGUUUGUUUACAGCAGAGGGUCUUUACCUCAUAGUAAACAAAAAGUAGUGAGGGAGAGACCAAAAGGAGCCUGUGACUAGAUACAGCAGAAGGACACAUGUCCAAUGAACUACUUUCACCAAAUUGCUCCAUUUCCUAUCAUUUCCAGGACCUCUGGAACAGCACCACCCCCGGGGGACUGACCACUUCACCAGGAGGUUUUUGCGGACAAUUCCUAUUCAAGCCAUAAUGGUAGAGUUUCAAAACACAAGCACACCUGCUGUGAUGGGCAAGGCUGAUUUCUGAGUUCUCCUUCUGAUUGCUACCUAUGAUCUUUGCUAAACAACACCAAGAAUGUUACAACUCCAUAUUGCAAUGCUAUUUAGAACAUGAAUUUCAGUUAAUCCACCCUCCGUGUGAGCAAAGAGGGUAAUGGCUUUUUCAAUGCCAUUCUAUACUAGAGCAUGGGUCCAGGCAAAAGAUGAAACACUACGCUAAUGACAGCUGCGGGAGAGAUAAACCAUCUUCCAGCUUCAGAAAUUGUCUGCCAAUAGAUUUGGUUUCAAGCUUCACAUGAUGAGUGUUUGAUGUGGAAAGGAAACAGGGCACCCUAGUGGAGACAGAUGAAAGGGGGAGGCCACAGGGGACUCCCUCUGCAAGAGGCUUGGAACUAUAUCUGGUGUUUCAAGUGUGAAAACAAACUGGGUAGAUGUCUUAAGAACAAGGAAAAAUAAUACUGAAUCCAACUCCGAAAAAACAAAAACAAGAACAGGUCAGUUGCGGCCCAUCACCCUCUACAAGAGCUUGGAUUCCUGCCUGGUUGAUGAACAAGAGAGAAGGUGGUUCCAUUGCUUCCUGAGGCUCUCUGUUGGUAUUGUCCUCUCAGUGUGUCCCCCAUAAUGCAUUUGAUAUCUGCCGCACUUUGCCACUGCACUGCCACCUCAGGAUGAACCUCUACACUCCAUUACUUGUUUCUCUUGCCUAGGGAGAAGGCUGGGCCUGGCGGAAGAGCACUGGGCUUGGGGAAAGAGAAGCUGAGACUGAAUUUAACUUUGCCACGUACUAGCUGUGAGAUCCUGAGCAUGCCUAGCCCAUUUAAGGCUGGGAUUUCUCAUAUAAUAAAUGAAAAUAGUAUCACUAAGAGCUACGGGGGCGGGGGGGGGGCGGGUAGUUACAUGAGGCGCUUUUUGGGAUUGCCCAGUGUAUAGCUGAUGAAGACAGACCUCUCAUGGUCUAGAUCAGUGGUUCUCAACCUGUGGGUCAUGAAUCCUUUGUGGGUUGAAGGUCUCUUUCACAGGGGUUGCUCACUGUUUUCCAGACCUACAACCUGCUUGCUUACUGGACAACCUUUGCAAGCCUGAGUUCCCGCAGGCCCUACCUAUGUUCUGGACGACUCCUACUCACCAUUGGAGCAUCAAGAGCUCUUUCUCUCUGGAACCUUUCUGAUGUCUCUACUCCACUGGAAAAUUUACAAGCGUCAUACUUCUGCUGGGCAUUGUGUAUUCCUUGAUUAUAGAUUUUUUUAGUUGAGGAAAUAUAUCUUCUCAGUAAGAUGGAAAUUUUAUAAAGGUAGAGAUUUGACUUUUAUUUUGAAUCCCUAGAAUGUACUGUUUUCCAGGGUUAUACUUAACCUAGAUACGGUAAAUGACUAUGGCUUAAGAAAAAGUAGGCUAAUCAAGCCAGUUGAUUCUACACUAAGGCCAACAAAAGGUAAACGGACUGGGUAUUGGGCUUGCCCAUCAUUAUGGGUAAAUUAAAGGUAGAAAGGAAAGAAAUUGGGGGAUUGGUGGUCUUAUUUAGAACACCAGCAAUCUUCUCUUUGCUAGAGAAAGCAUUUAAGCUGUCUAUUUUAGGGUGAAGAUGCUAAGGCACAGAAAGGUAAGGACUUUGUCCAUUCAUUAAUGCCAGAGACAGACUCUUACUGACCUCUCUUCUACAGAACUAUUUCCCUUGAAUCUCAUUGCUUUGAAAAGAUCCUCAAAUGAUUUCAAAUAUUGGGAUAUCCAAAGACUGACACUGAGGCAGGAUGGAUUUAUUCAGGAGCACUGGAAAUCCUGAGAAAGUUAUCAAGGCUCUAAAACUUGGCCCCAGUCUGCUGCUGCUGCUGAGAAGAGAAGAUCCUUACUUUGGGAUUUCAUCCUUUUCAACUUUGUCUGUCUUUGUGGAUGCUGUCCUUUCUCUGGUCUGAAGUUCAAGAGUUACAUCAAGUUGUUCAGUCCUGUUGAAGUUGGAAAACCUUAGAGAAGGCUCCAAAGUCACUUCCUGGGCUGCCAUCUGCUCCGUCUACAGCUCUCUCAGUGACCAGAGAGCCAGUUCCCUGACUUUACAGCUGUGGCCACCCCUCCCUUCAUUUUGAAGACAGUGGGUACACCAGGAGGUCAGCGGGCAUGAGGACCACUGUGUGUCUGCCAGCAGCCACACACUGGGUCAUCAGGAAAGGACCUGCCCUCUCUGAACUGACAUUUCCAGAUGCUCAUGGAGGCAUGCUGCUUUCUCCACUAGCAGAUCUCACUGCAGCCAGUGACUAAUUGAAUCUCAUUUGCCUUGUCACUGAUGGGGUCGCUGUAGUAUUUUCUCUGGAAUUUAUGACAGAUGCUGGCCAAAGAGCCCUUUAGAUAUCAGAAUUUGGGGACUUUUAAGAGAAUGAGGCUCUUGGCACAUUUUAAGAGAAUUGGGCUAUGGGUGGACACUGUGUUGGAAACCCAGCAUCCUCUCCAUUUUCAUCUGUAUAGAUCUAACUACACAACAGCCAAUUAAGCAAACAGCCAGGCUUCAUGGUUUAUCAGGCAGUGUUUCCAUCAGUGAAGGACUUAGCGGACUGAACAAUUUGUGUAUUUGGGGUAAACAUAUUUCAGAAAUGAAUGCACUCAGCCAUCUGAGUUUAUAUUCAGACAUGAAAUUAUGGUUAAAUAUAGAAACAAUUGACUCCCCUCUAUGCUGAAGACAUUGGCAAUGAGUUUUCCAGAGAUCAGCUCCAUAGAUUUUCGAGCUUCGGUGGCUGCUGGGAUUUGUGCUUUAUGGAGUCCUGUCUUGGAUGACUGAUGGCUGGUUUAUUGGAAGUCAGGCUCUCAGAACCAUUAUAUGUGCGCAUAUAAAAGUCACUUUGGCUAUAAGUUCAAAUGUUGUAUGCUACGUGGAAUGGACAGAGUCCAGUGUUUUCGUUACUAACUUCCUUCAAUUAACUUUGCUUUAUCUUAGCAGGGGAACGUGUCUGAUUGUCACCCAGUGUCAGAAGGCAAUUAACCCACUGACACAACACAAGGAAAAACAUGUUCAGAGACAAAGCAAACAUGCUCAGGAAAAAUUACUUGGUAUUUUUUUAUUAAUUAAUUUCCCAGCCAUCAAAGACCGCCUUCAGCUUUCUUUUGCGUGAGCACAUUCCUUUUACUACAAGUUCCCAUUUUAUCAGCCCUCUAAACACAGGGAGCGGUUAUGUCCACGGGAUCCCAAAAGGAUGGGGCAGCUGCAUGCCAGGGCUUCAGCUUUCUGAUAUUAUUCCAGGUCCUUCUCACAUUGGGGACAGCCAGAAGUGAUCACAGGGCUCUCCAUGACUUUACCAGGCACGCUCCCUGAAAUCCCAGCUUUUCUGCCUUCUCCAGUCUUAGUAUUCACAUCCACCUUUACUGAACAUUCCAGUGUAUGUCAGGAUCUCUUCUAAAUACUCUCAAAUGCUCUCUUCUGUAGUCUCCCCUCCCCCAGCCUGAAACCUGCUUGCUCAGGGGUGGAGCUUCCUGCUCAUUCGUUCUGCCACACCCACUGCUGGAACCUGCGGAGCCACACACGUGCACCUUUCUACUGGACCAGAGAUUAUUCGGCGGGAAUCGGGUCUCCUCCCCCUUCCUUCAUAACUAGUGUCGCAACAAUAAAAUUUGAGCCUUGAUCAGAGUAACUGUCUUGGCUACAUUCCUUUCUCUCGCCACCUAGCCCCUCUUCUCUUCCAGGUUUCCAAAAUGCCUUUCCAGGCUAGAACCCAGGUUGUGGUCUGCUGGCCGGACACAACACUCUUCUUUAGCCAUCACAACAUUCUUUCCAAGAAAUUGCUAAUUUUCUCAUUCUACAGAUGAAGAUGCUGGGAUGAUACAAUGUGAAGAUAUUGAGUGAGGGCACACAGCUAAAAGGUCCUGCCUCUCUUCCACCCCAUGGCAAGACUUUGAGCUGAAUAGAUGCUCAUUAACUGCUUACUUCAUCUAUUUUUCCUUUUCUGAGGAUACACAAGUCGUCUACUCUGGAUGAGGAGAGGGUCUGGUGGAGACCACCAUUUGAUUAAGCACACCAUACAGCAUAUCCCUGAGCACUCAGAAGUCCAUCAUUGUGCGUUGAGCAUCACAUGGACACAGCGGACUCAUGUUAUGAGAAAGGCUGGGACAAAAUAUUGUGUAAACAGACCACAGGGAACCACACAAAUGCCUAUGGGCACAAAGGAAGCUUUUUGCAGAGAAAACAAAAGUUACUGGAUUUGAUCUAAAGGAGGCAGACAUGCUCCAGGUACAGAGGGCAGAAGGCUUGCACAGAGGAACAGUGUAUGCAAAGGUGUGGGUGGGAGGAGGGGGCCUGGAUGUUCCCAGAGAAAAGCUAUCCUAUGUUGCUAUCAGAUAGGAGAUACAAAGAGUCUCAUAACUGGGUAGCUGCCUUUGUAUCUCUGAGUUUGUGGAAGUGUCUGGUUAGUAUCUCCAUGGAUAGGGUCAGGGCUUGAGACUAGAGAGAGUAGGAAAAGAUUGUGGUGGCUGCGUUGGGAGAUGAUACUUUUCCAUAAAGGUAAAGCAGAGAAAGAAAGGGACUCUGCAACAGAACUCAUUGGAAGCCACAGGUAUGAAAACAAAAGUAGAAAGUGCUAUGGUUUCGCUGUGGAAUUUCCCUCAUAGGUUCAUAUGUUUGAAUAAUUAGUUGCCAGCUGGUGGUGCUAUCUAGGGAGAUGAUGAAGUCAUCAUGGGUGGGGCUUAGAGGGAGGAGUUGUGGGGCAUGCUUUUGAGCAUUGAAACUUGGCUGCUUAUGUUUAUGUGGUCUCUGUAGUGAUGUGACCUGUGACCCACAAAGGACAAGGACCGAGCUUCUCCUGCUGCCCUGCCUUCGCUGCCAUUGUGGACCAUGUCCUCUGAGACAUUGACUCAAAAAUUUACCUCUCCUGCCUGUAAGGUACUUUAUUACUGUUAUGAGAAAAAUAGCUAAGGCAUGUAAGGUGAUCUCAUUUCAGCUCUGUUGAAUGUAUAUAGCAUGAAAGCCCCACACCAGGGGACACAGAAGCAGUAGCUAUACCCGUAUCCAUCUCCCUUUGCUCAUGUAUGAGAGAUUUGGUCCAUUUCCAUGCAGACUGAGUUCUGGGCUAUGAAUAGUCCUCAUGCAAAUUUUGUUGGCAAAUACUAGGUCAGGAUAUAGGAACCAACAGAAACCUUCUAAUUCCAUGGAAGCUCUUAGUAAGGCACCAAAAUGUAUGAACUCAAAAAGAAAAGCCACAGGAAGAGGGAGAUGGGUGAGGUGAAAGGAAUAUUGGUAAAACAAGCCAGCAGGGCAAGGGAGGUUCAUAUGGGCAAUAGGAAAGUUGUUAUAGAUGUGUUUAAACCAAGCCUCAGUCAUACUUGGGAAGCUUCCUCAGGAUGAAGGAGAUAAAAAACUGACUGGUGAGGAAGUGAGAAUGGUAGAAGACAGUGGGUAGAAUUUCCUCCUGCACAUCAUGUUUCUUAAGAGUAAACCCAUAGCAGUGAGAAAUCAAGGAACAAAUAGAAGUCAGUACCACAAGAUUUUCCUUAGCUGAAUGCUCUUAGUUUUACAAAUAGAUGGGGCUUUCUGGGGGAGACUUUAAACACACACAUAGAAAGAGAGAUGGCCCAAGGGCAAGAGGGCUCUUGCUAUAGAUGAAUGAGAGGGACCCAGUGGGUUAACUCAUCUCUUGCGCUGGGAUCAUGGGAUAGGUGGGGUAGGCUACACAAUGACUUCUCAGUGUAACAAGGCUGUGCCAGUGUCCAAGACAUGUCAGGAUCUGUGAAUAUUGGUCUCAACUUGUUCUUAGCCUUGGGACCUUGUUAUAUAUUUGUUCCUCUGUGCCUCCCUUGGUUCCCUCUUGGCUUAAUAGAACAUAGGUCCUCCCUUCCAAGAUUGCUAGAAAGUAGCAAGUAAAAAUACAAGAUUAUUUAAUCUUGGAUUUUCCAUAAACAAAUUAGGACACAUACUAAAGAAGUAUUUGUUUAACUAAAACUCCAGCUUAAAAUUCCAUUUAAAAAAAUUCUGGAAAUGGUCUUCUUUCACCCAGUGAAUUCUCUUAGUUCCAAGACUUUGAGUUCAUAUUUGAAUGUUUCUGCCCCUGUUGCUGAUAUCUUGCACAGCACAGAAUUAGGCAGAACAUUGAAAAGAAGCAAACUCUUCAGCAGUCUUUAGACCUGAGUCCCUCUGACUGAAGUCCUUGGCAGGUCCACAAAUUAGUUCUAAUUUUACUAUACAGUUUUGUCACACCUUAGAAUGUAGAAGGGUUAACACACAUGCAUAAAGUUUAUCUAAAAAAAAAACCUGACAUGUAAUUAAAAGUGUGUGUGCAUGUGUGUCUCACACAGAGUUGGCCAGAGUAAUGUUGUCUAAGUGUUAUCAGAAAUUAUCUCUUGUUAAUAUUUAAUGCAAUUAUUUCUGAUAAAUAUUUUUUCUGGACUUUUUAAGUGUUAACAUGAGACUGUAACAUCUGAUUGUAAAUAAUGGGCCUUUCAGUUUUAUUUUUUAACAGCCCCAUGAUAUAUUCGAUUAUAUAUAAUUGAAUGUAUGGUAUAACUAUAGCUGAUGACUUUUAAAAGGUAACAUUUUUCAUAAUGAUAUUAAUGGCGUUAUAAAAGGUUUCUGUUUCCAAAGAUGUAACUGGGGUCCACAUAUCCUUUGACAGACUUUAGCAUCCCAAAGCUGACAUCAGAGACACUCUCCUUUAGCCACUGCUUUCGUAAGUUGCUCAUUCCAUGGUGAGGUGGCAGGCUCCCUCCAUUGGCAAGGAUUUCAUCUUGAGCAGCUGCCUCAGUCUGUUCAGUCAGUGGGUCACUAAUUCCCCUGUAGUUAAAGGCAAAAUAGAAGCAGAUGCAUGCGCCUGCAUCAUACAUCUGCAUCACCCUGAAUGUAGAGUGAGGUGCAAACUCAGCUUCGCUUUCUUCGGAUUCCCUUCUUAUCCUCUCUUUUACAUUUCUAAACAGAUCUAUAACCCUGCCCCAAGGAGCCGAAGUCUCAAAAGAUUCUCCUAUUAUAUAUUAUUCAAAACCCAAAUCACGCAUGUAUGCAGUGACAUAAGUCAGCAAGUAAGCCCUCUGUCCCUUAACUUCUCCAGCUGCCAGACCACCAAACUUUGCUGUGAUGUCAUCUGCUUGUUUUUUUGUGCUGAAGAACCUUCUCACCGUCUCCCUCGAACAGUGAUGUGGCUAUGCUCAUGUGGCAACUCACACAGAGUUGUCCAGAACAAUGUUCUCUGUGUGUCCACAGCGAUUAACUCUUGUCAAUAUUGAAUGCAAUUAUUGUGAUAAAUAUUUUUCUGGACUUUAAAAGUGUUAACACGAGACUGUAACAUUUGAUCAUAAACAGUGGGCCUUUCUUCUUCUUUUUUUUUUCAAGUACUCGUGUGUUUUAGGAUGACACAUCUUUGAAAGUCUUAGCAGUUUGGCCAUAUAACUGAAGGAGCUAAAACAGGAGCUCCUGGUAAUUACACAUUGCUUCCCUCUUUCACCAGUGAAAAGUAAUUUAUGUUUUGGGGACCAGAAAUUAGUAUUUUUGGAAAGUCUCCCAAGCUGUAUCUGCCCUUGGACUGUCCUUCAGAAGGUAGGGACGUAGAGACAAACAGCUUAGAUUCCUUCCAUGUGAAGAAAGCCCUCCUCUCUGUCGACAGGGGUGUGACAGCCCUAAUGAGGAUGAAUAGCCACCUGUCCAGUGCUGCCUGCUGCCAAGUAAAUUUCCUAAAUGCUGCUGGAACCUUCCUUUGAGCUAUUCUGCUUAUUUGGACCAGAGGUCUUACUGAAUGUGAGAGAGGGAGACAGAGAUAUAUAGAGAGAGACACACAGAGAGAGACAGAGACACAGAGACUCAGACAGAGACAGAGAGACAGAGAUAUAGAGGGAGAGACUAUGUGUGCUCUUUUUUUAAUUCUCUUUUUUAUUAGAUAUUUUCUUCAUUUACAUUUCAAACGCUAUCUUAGAAGUCCCCUAUACCCUCCCCCCCUGUUCUUCUACCCACGCACUCCCACUUCUUGGUCCUGGCAUUCCCCUGUACUGAGGCAUAUAAAGUUUGCAAGACCAAGGGGCCUUUCUUCCCAAUGAUGGCUGACUAGGCCAUCUUCUGCUAUAUAUGCAGCUAGAGACAUGAGCUCUGGGGGUACUGGUUAGUUCAUAUUGUUGUUCCACCUAUAGGGUUGCAGACCCCUUCAGAUCCUUGGGUACUUUCUCUAGCUCCUCCAUUGGGGGCCCUGUGUGUGUUCUUGUGUGUGCACACAUGUGCAUGUGGAUGGGUGUGCAUGCAUGCAGAGGACAGAAUAGCAUUAGGUGUCUUCCUCAGUCAACCCCAAUCUCUCUUUUUUUUUUUUUUUUUUUUUUUAAUCAGGGGUUCUUCCUGAAAUCAGAACUCACAGAUUUGGCUACACUGGCUGGCCAGCUCCAGGAAUUCUCCUAUCUCCAUCUCCCUAGUGCUUGGAGUAUAGAUGAACACUGCCAUAUUUAGCUUUUUAUAUGGGUGCCGGGAAUCCAAACUUGGGUUCCCAGGCUUCUACUGCAAGCACUUUACUAAUAACUGUCUCCCCAGGCCCUGGAGUCUUUUAUAACAUAUUUGGAGUUUGAAAUGGGAGUGCCCCAAGCUUUGCCAUAGAAUUUCUGAGGGGAGCUGUGGACUGUCCUUAGGCCCAGCAUGAACAUGGGAACUUUCUGGUUCCAGCUAACCCAGGAGCUAGGCAGGAGGUGAGCUAACAUGCUGUUAUCAUCCUGGGGUAGGAAAGGCUACACUUCAGAGCACUCAAAGUGAUGCUGUCCAUCUGUAAGGAUGUAUGUCUUGGUAUUAACAUAUGCUUUCUCACCAGUGCAUUUGCUAGACUGAGAGAGGAACAGAGUGAAGGGUACUGCUGAGAUAGUCAAGCAGCCAGUAAUGCAAUCUGCAUUCACUUAGCACUUUCUAUUCAUGGCAUAGAUUUCUAAAUUAACUUUUAUCUUUGAGUCCUGAUUACUUAUGGAAAUUAGUGUCCAGUCAGUGAGGCUAAAGUGAUUCAUUCUUCCUGCCUUCCACUUAGGGGAAAGGACACUGCUCCACAACCCUUAGCUUCCUCCCACCUAGUUGUUGCUUCUUAUCUUUCUGGGGGAAAGAAAAGAUGGUUAGGGGAAAAGACAUUCCUGUGACCCAAAGUACCCAGAGACAAAUAUCCUUAUCACUUCAUUGUCUUUAUCUGAUCUUCAACAUAGUUUUUCAUUUACAAAAUCCCAGGUUUAUCUGACAGAUUUAAUUGAGAAAAAAAAAUCCAAAGCUUUUAAUUUGUUUCUGGAGUUUCAAAGAAUUGUUCAGUGAUCUUAGUACAAAACAUUACAAUCAGCAUACAACUCAUAUCUCCAUCUAUCUAUCCAUCCAUCCAUCCAUCCAUCCAUCCAUCCAUCCAUCCAAUAAUUUUAUACUGAACAAGAAGUAUGUAAAAUGAUGAAUAAAAAAUGGUACUCUCUUAAAACUUUCCAUCAAUCUAGCGGGGACGAUAUAACCCCCGCCUCAAGUUACGUAUUUUAAAUGUUUACCCAAGGGUAAUUAAGUAGGAAUUAUUGAUAGUGUGUAAGGAGAUGGCUCAGCAGGUCAGAGAGAUUGUUGUGCAAACAGAAGGACCUGAGUUUGAAUCUCCAGCAUCCACGUAAAAGAGUGGCAUGACUCCAUGUAACUAAACCCAAGUGCUGGUGAGAGGAGGCAGGAUGACAAUUUGGGCUUGCUGGGUGCCAGCCUGGGGUUGGAAUGGGCAGUGAGCUCCAGAUUCACUGAAAAGACCCUGUGUCCUAGUUUGGUUUCCGCUUUGUGUAAACACCAUGAACAAAAGCAACUUGUGGAGGAAAGGGUGUAUUUGGUUCAUAUCCCCAGUCACAGUCCACCACUGAAGAAAGUCAGGGCAGGAACCUAGAGGCAGGAAUGGAAGCAGAGACUAUGCAAGAAAGCUGCCUACUGGUUUGAUCCACAUGGCAUGUUCAGCCUACUUCCUUAUACAACCCAGCCACUUGUCAUGGAUGGCACCAUCCACAGCUGUUUGAGCAUUCCCACAUAAAUCAUUAAUCAAGAAAGUGUCCAACAGAGAAAUCUAUAGGCUAAUCUGAUGGAGGAAUUUUCUCAGUUGAAGCUCCCUCUUUCCAGAUAAUCAGGAUUCCUAUCAAGCUGAAAAACAGCAGCAGCAACAACAACAAAAACCAAGAAAAAGCAAAUCUACAACCAAGCUUAACAUAUCCUGUCUCAAGGAAAUUAGCAGAGAGUAAAUGAAGAAAAUAUCUUAUAUCUUUCUUUGGCCUCUGUGCAUAGGUGCAUGUAUACACACACACACACACACAUUACAGUAGAGAAUCAGACAGCAACUCAGUUCAAAUCCUAUUGCUUCCAUAUACUGUCUAUGAAAACUUGGGCAAAACAUUCAUCUUUUGGUAUUCUGGAUUUUUACUUAUAAAGGAGGAUAAAUAUAGUAUGUGUUUCAUCAGCUUUUCAGGAGGAUUAAAUGUAUUAUAUAUUUAUUUUAAAAAUCCAAGAUCAUACUAUAAAAGGUAAACAGAAUCAAAUAGAGAAUUUCUGCAAAUAUUUCAAAUCCCUUCCCAGCACCCCGCUAAAGCUUCUAUUCCUUUCUUCUUCGCCCUUGCCAAGUAGCACACACCCGCAUUUGUGUGACAAACAGACACAGAGAGUGGAUUGGUUUUAAGCAAGGACUCUUCUCUGAAAGAAGAUGCCAAGUUGUGUCUGGAAUUUUGUUUCUAAUAGGGCCAUUGAUUGCUGUAAAUAUUUAUUGUGCUAAAUAUAAUCACGGGAACUUAGGGGGUAAAGUCAAAAUGGCUGCUUAGAGAGGCUUACAUUCUGGAGUGCAAGGGAAAUAGGAAAGUAGCCAAAAGAGAGAGACAAAUUAUGGAAAAGGUGCUAUAUGAAAAAAAAAGUCUGAGAAAAGAGGUCAGGGGCACUGGUGGAGCGGGACAGGUCACCAUUCCUGUAGGUGGGUAGGGACAGAGCUCAGCAGGAUGACAUUUGAGCAAGGGUAUAGAGACCUUGUGUCAGUUGGUUGCAUAUGUACUGAGGGGACAAUGAUGAAGCACACGUCCAGGUCCAUUGUUCUGAGGGAGAGCAUACGGGGGCCGGGGUGCCUGGAGUCAAGGCAAGUAAGGAAGGUAGGAGCAGAGAGAUUAGCAUUUGAGGGGAGCUGUCCACCCUUUCCACAGUGCAAUGACUCCCUAGCAUGAGUGUGUAUCAGAGCUAUUAGAUACACGAUCUACAGAAGCUGAGAGUGUUCAACAUUUCUAAAAAAUACCCAGGACAGACUUCUGCUGGAAUGUGGGGUCUAAAUUUGGAGACUCCUCAUUAUCUAGAGCACAGUUUCACUAGCUUAUAUAUCUCUAAACGAGUCAAUUGUGUUUGUUGGGUAAAGUUUCAUUAUUUUGUAUAUCUCUAUAUAUACAAAUUGUCUACAAAACUUGAAAAUAUGUCUCUUAUAUUUAAAUAAUUAGAAUUGCUUUCUUUCUUCCACGUAUCUUGCAUUUGUCACUAGAGAAAACAAAACAUUAAUAAUAUAAAUACUUUCAAAAUAAUUAUUUACAGUGUUAAACAUUUUUCUUUGUAUAAACACAAUGUAUAUGUUUUGGUGGUAUUGCUAAGUACAUAGAGUCCUUCCCAGACUCCAAUUUAGGAAUCCUUACUCCAGGACAUGAUAAGUUCAUUCAGCAUUCAUAGAUUAGCCUGAUGGGUCUCUAUCGGUUCUCAUCUUGCCAAUGGACUGGAGAGGAAACACAAGAUUUGACCUCAAACUCAGGGUAGGCCAGAGACAACUCUUACAAUGUUUCUGAUUUAAGCUGUUGGCUAUGAUGAUAAAAGUUCUUCAGUCCCACUAUAAAUACAUUUCAGUAUUUUCACUGAAUUAGAAUUGUGAAGGACUUUGAUACCAAUAUAAAUUUGGGCCCCUUGGAAUACUGUUAAUAUUUAAAGACUUUUCAUGGUACGCUGGUUAGUUUUGGUCAACUUAACACAAACCUAGACAUAUCUGAGAAUAAGAAGCCUCAACUGAAGAAUCACAUUCCUCAGAUUAGCCCAUGGGCAUGUCUGUGGGUCGUUUUCUUGAUUGCUAAUUGAUAUUGAAGGGCCCUGCCCACUAUGGGCAGAGGCAUCCCUAGGCAGUUGGGCCUGAGCUGUAUAAGAGAGAUAGUUAAGUGCUGUAGUUCGAAUGAAAAUGUGCCUCCUCCACCUCCAUAGGCUUAUGUGUUAAAAUAUUUGGUCUCCAGUUGAUGAAACUAUUUGGAAAGGAUCAGGACAUUUGGUCUUGUUAGGAGGGGAUGUGUUUUACUGGUUUAGAGAUUUCAAAAGACUCACACCAUUUCCAGGGCGCUUUCUCUGCCGCCUGCUUGUGGACCAAGAUAUAAGUUUUUAGCUGUUCCUGCUGCCAUACAUUUUCUCUCUUUGUUGUAAAUUCUAAUCCAAUUAAAUGCUUUCUUUUUUUUAUAAGUCACUUUAGUCAUGGUGUUUUAUCACAGCAAAGCAAAGGGUGACAGGAAGUGGGCUGUUGUUUGGAGGAAUGUAAAAGACAUUAGGACUUUGUAGGAAAGAAAUUGAAUGCUGUAAGCAGAGCCUAACAGGUUAUCCUCAUUGGAGUUUGGAAGACAGUAGCAAUGUGAGCUAUGUGGAUUACUGAGGCCUAGUUCAAAAAGUUUCAGAAGGGAACAACAUUAGCAACCAGGCUGGAGACUUGUUUUGAUGGUAUUUUGGCAAAGAAUGGCUGCUAUUUUCCUUUGUCCUAAGACUCUGAGCAAGACAAAGCUAAAAGGUAAUGGGCUAACUUCUUAAGAGGAAGAAACCUCAAGACAACCUAAUUCUGAUUCUGUCAUGUGGGUAUGCAGUGCUACAUUGAAAAAGAGCAACUGGGGCAAAAAGAAAUACAAGAUGUACAGUAUGAAGAGAAAAAGAACACCACCAGGAAAUUUAAUGUUGGAGCCAGGACUUAUGUUGGAAGAGAUGAGAUUAAAGAAAGAUUUGAUCUAAAUUAGAAUAAAGAGAGAGAUGCCCUCAGGAGGCUCCAUCCAUCUAAACUUCCCACUUUUGGAAGGAAAAGGACUUCAGUAUGUUUUCCUCCUAAAGAGCAACAACAAAAACAAUCUACUGCAAAUUUGGUUCAAAGAUUAUUGGCUCUAUCCCAAGUGAGUAGCCAAAUUUGUCCAUGUGAUUUGGGCUUUAGAGUUAUAGUUACAUGAAUAAAGGGGUUGUGGAAUCU